rnacentral:misc_RNA from 1 species
AAGGCACCGGCUCCGACAUGGCGCGUUCGUUCGCGGGCUACGGCCAGCGCAUCUCGGGCCCGCAGGUCGGCGCUAUCGCGGUGAUGUGGCGUGGCCGCCGCGGCGGUCCUUUCGGGGACGUCAGCCGGAUCGACCCCAACGGCAAUNCGAUCGUGAUCUCGGGCAACCAUGGCCACCGCGUCGCCGAGGCCACCUAUUCGCGUGGGCGGGUCUACGCCUACGUCAUGCCGUCGAGUUGAGUUCUGUGAUGGUAUCGCCGGCGGCAAUCGUGCCGCCGGCGA